rnacentral:snoRNA from 1 species
AUUUGAUGGUGUGGGCAGCUUGCACAUAGUUUCUUGAAACGCUCCCAAUAUUCAUAUAGGGACUCUCCAUUGUUUUGCCUUCUACCACAGAUUUCCUUUCUAAUGUU